UGCCCCCUGCGGUGUUUGAACCGCGCCGGAAACCCUUUGGACCUAUAAGCUACUACCUGGGAACCGGAGCACUGGUGCCGUUGUGCAAGCCUGCCUCGUAGCAGGAAGCCUGAAGCGCCAUCUUGGGUGACCUCCUUGAACUCUGCUGGUUCAAGGUCAACGGCCGGUACGGCACAGGCGGAGGGCAU
rnacentral:other from 1 species